AUUCCAACAUAUGUGGUGAGACCAAGGUUUUAUGGGCUACCUAGCAGUUUUGUUCUGCUUAAUAAGUUGUAGGCUUUGGAUAUUAUAUCCCAGCGACAUGGAAGCUGACUAACACCUGUAUGUAUGUUGGCUGAAGUGGAGGAGGGAGGCAGUAGACAUCUUCAUUAUAAGACUCAUUAAGGUGAUCUCCAGUGAGCUUCCAGGCCUUUGAUCUCGGACUGGUGCUGCCUCCUUGAACCCUCUCAUUUUGCGGCUCCCAUCAUCUUGGACUAAGCAACUACUGGAUCCUCUGGCUCUCCAGCAUGCACACAACAGUUGCGCGCUCUUCGCCUCUGCUUCUACAAAGAAGUAAAAGCAGCAAGUAAAUAUAUGAA